rnacentral:rRNA from 1 species
GAUGAACGCUGGCGGCGUGCUUAACACAUGCAAGUCGAACGGAAAAGCCCAGCUUUCUUGGGGGGCUCGAGUGGAAAACGGGUGUAACACGUGAGUAUCCUCUCCUUUACACUGUGGUAUGACUUGGGAAAUCUGUGUAAUACAGGAGAUGAGCGCCUACCGCGUAUGGUGGGGUGUGAAAAGUUUUGGCGGUUGGGGAUGGACUCGCGGCAUCUCAGCUUGUUGGUGGGGUAGUGGCUUACCAAGGCCUUGACGGGUAGCCGGCCUGAGAGGGUGACCGGCCACAUUGGGACUGAGAUACGGCCCAGACUCCUACGGGAGGCAGCAGUGGGGAAUAUUGCACAAUGGGCGGAAGCCUGAUGCAGCAACGCCGCGUGCGGGAUGACGGCCUUCGGGUUGUAAACCGCUUUCGCCUGGGACGAAGCGAGAGUGACGGUAAUUGGAAAAGAAGCACCGGCUAACUACGUG